UUGGGAUAAUAGCACCUCCCCCAGAAAGAUAGCAUAGUCCGACUAAGCAAAGAUUCGAAUUAGCUGUAUAAAAGCGCAUGGUUGCUGCCUGCCGGUGUGGCUGGUUUUCCCUGGCCAGCGUCCAGCGAACAGGACAGCACAGUGGGGGGGGGGGGACACUGUCUCCGUACUUUUCUCACACUGCAGUUGUUCAAGGGGGAUGUUCUACAUCUGCAGAGGCGAGUUCAUUGAGACGUCACCAACAAGACGGAGUCUGUCGGCCAACCAGCGCUGGGAACAGAAGGAUUUCAAUUUUGACAGCUUGCUGCAGGGCCUGAUGUCGCUGUUCGUGAUGUACUCCAAGAACGGCUUGUUGACCCUCAUGUAUGAUGGACUGGACGCCGUUGGAGUGGACCAACAGCCCAUGAUCAACUAAAAUGAAUGGAUACUUCCUUUCUUCAUCUCCUUCAUGAUCGUGAGCUUCUUCUUGCUCGACAUGUUCAUCGGUGUGAUGGUGGACACCUUCCACGACUGUCAGAAGCAACAAAAGAAACCAUCUGAGGAGGCGAGAAACAGCUCGCGGCGCGGCGCAGG